rnacentral:rRNA from 1 species
CCUACGGGAGACAGCAGUGAGGAAUAUUGGUCAAUGGACGAGAGUCUGAACCAGCCAAGUAGCGUGAAGGAUGACUGCCCUAUGGGUUGUAAACUUCUUUUAUAUGGGAAUAAAAUGUUCCACGUGUGGGAUUUUGUAUGUACCAUAUGAAUAAGGAUCGGCUAACUCCGUGCCAGCAGCCGCGGUAAUACGGAGGAUCCGAGCGUUAUCCGGAUUUAUUGGGAUUAAAGGGAGCGUAGGUGGAUUGUUAAGUCAGUUGUGAAAGUUUGCGGCUCAAACGUAAAAUUGCAGUUGAAACUGGCAGUCUUGAGUACAGUAGAGGUGGGCGGGAUUCGUGGUGUAGCGGUGAAAUGCUUAGAUAUCACGAAGAACUCCGAGUGCGGAGGCAGUUCACUGGACUGCAACUGAGACUGAGGCUCGAAAGUGUGGGUAUCAAACAGGAUUAGAUGCCCUGGUAGUC